rnacentral:rRNA from 1 species
CCUACGGGGGGCUGCAGUGAGGAAUAUUGGUCAAUGGGCGCAAGCCUGAACCAGCCAUGCCGCGUGAAGGAUGAAGGCGUUUGCGUUGUAAACUUCUUUUAUCUGGGAAGCGGUACCAGAGGAAUAAGCACCGGCUAACUCCGUGCCAGCAGCCGCGGUAAUACGGAGGGUGCAAGCGUUAUCCGGAUUCACUGGGUGUAAAGGGUGUGUAGGCGGGCUAUUAAGUCAGAGGUGAAAUCUCUGAGCUCAACUCAGAAACUGCAAUUGAUACUAUUAGUCUUGAAUAUCGUUGAGGCAGGCGGAAUAUGUCAUGUAGCGGUGAAAUGCUUAGAUAUGACAUAGAACACCGAUUGCGAAGGCAGCUUGCUAAACGAUAUUGACGCUGAGGCACGAAAGCGUGGGGAUCAAACAGGAUUAGAUACCCUUGUAGUC